UGGGGCCUACGGGGCGCAGCAGUGGGGAAUUUUGGACAAUGGGCGCAAGCCUGAUCCAGCUAUUCCGCGUGUGGGAUGAAGGCCCUCGGGUUGUAAACCACUUUUGUAGAGAACGAAAAGACACCUUUUAAUAAAGGGUGUUGCUGACGGUACUCUAAGAAUAAGCACCGGCUAACUACGUGCCAGCAGCCGCGGUAAUACGUAGGGUGCGAGCGCUAAUCGGAAUUACUGGGCGUAAAGGGUGCGCAGGUGGUUGAGUAAGACAGAUGUGAAAUCACCGAGCUUAACUCGGGAAUGGCAUAUGU
rnacentral:rRNA from 1 species